rnacentral:rRNA from 1 species
GAUCCUGGCUCAGGACGAACGCUGGCGGCGUGCCUAAUACAUGCAAGUAGAACGCUGAAGAGAGGAGCUUGCUCUUCUUGGACGAGUUGCGAACGGGUGAGUAACGCGUAGGUAACCUGCCUUGUAGCGGGGGAUAACUAUUGGAAACGAUAGCUAAUACCGCAUAACAAUAGGUGACACAUGUCAUUUAAUUUGAAAGGGGCAAUUGCUCCACUACAAGAUGGACCUGCGUUGUAUUAG